rnacentral:rRNA from 1 species
GACGAACGCUGGCGGCGUGCCUAAUACAUGCAAGUCGAGCGGAGUAAAAAGCGUGCUUGCACGGUUUUAUUUAGCGGCGAACGGGUGAGUAACACGUAGGUAACCUGGCCAUAAGACAGGGAUAACGCUCGGAAACGUGAGCUAAAACCAGAUAGGCAUUUCCACGCAUGAGGGAGAUGAGAAAAGGCGGAGCAAUCUGCCGCUUAUGGAUGGACCUGCGUCGCAUUAGCUAGUUGGAGUGGUAAAGGCACACCAAGGCGACGAUGCGUAGCCGACCUGAGAGGGUGAGCGGCCACACUGGGACUGAGACACGGCCCAGACUCCUACGGGAGGCAGCAGUAGGGAAUCUUCC